UGGGGAAUAUUGCACAAUGGGCGCAAGCCUGAUGCAGCCAUGCCGCGUGUAUGAAGAAGGCCUUCGGGUUGUAAAGUACUUUCAGCGGGGAGGAAGGGAGUAAAGUUAAUACCUUUGCUCAUUGACGUUACCCGCAGAAGAAGCACCGGCUAACUCCGUGCCAGCAGCCGCGGUAAUACGGAGGGUGCAAGCGUUAAUCGGAAUUACUGGGCGUAAAGCGCACGCAGGCGGUUUGUUAAGUCAGAUGUGAAAUCCCCGGGCUCAACCUGGGAACUGCAUCUGAUACUGGCAAGCUUGAGUCUCGUAGAGGGGGGUAGAGUUCCAGGUGUAGCGGUGAAAUGCGUAGAGAUCUGGAGGAAUACCGGUGGCGAAGGCGGCCCCCUGGACGAAGACUGACGCUCAGGUGCGAAAGCGUGGGGAGCAAACAGG
rnacentral:rRNA from 1 species